rnacentral:rRNA from 1 species
GGGUUGUGAGGUUAAGCGACUAAGCGUACACGGUGGAUGCCCUGGCAGUCAGAGGCGAUGAAGGACGUGCUAAUCUGCGAAAAGCGUCGGUAAGGUGAUAUGAACCGUUAUAACCGGCGAUGUCCGAAUGGGGAAACCCAGUGCAAUUCGUUGCACUAUCGUUAACUGAAUACAUAGGUUAACGAGGCGAACCGGGGGAACUGAAACAUCUAAGUACCCCGAGGAAAAGAAAUCAACCGAGAUUCCCCCAGUAGCGGCGAGCGAACGGGGAGCAGCCCAGAGUCUGAAUCAGCUUGUGUGUUAGUGGAACGGUCUGGAAAGUCCGACGGUACAGGGUGAUAGUCCCGUACACCAAAAUGCACAGGCUGUGAACUCGAAGAGUAGGGCGGGACACGUGGUAUCCUGUCUGAAUAUGGGGGGACCAUCCUCCAAGGCUAAAUACUCCUGACUGACCGAUAGUGAACCAGUACCGUGAGGGAAAGGCGAAAAGAACCCCGGCGAGGGGAGUGAAAAAGAACCUGAAACCGUGUACGUACAAGCAGUGGGAGCACCUUCGGGUGUGACUGCGUACCUUUUGUAUAAUGGGUCAGCGACUUAUAUUCUGUAGCAAGGUUAACCGUAUAGGGGAGCCGCAGGGAAACCGAGUCUUAACUGGGCGUUAAGUUGCAGGGUAUAGACCCGAAACCCGGUGAUCUAGCCAUGGGCAGGUUGAAGGUUGGGUAACACUAACUGGAGGACCGAACCGACUAAUGUUGAAAAAUUAGCGGAUGACUUGUGGCUGGGGGUGAAAGGCCAAUCAAACCGGGAGAUAGCUGGUUCUCCCCGAAAGCUAUUUAGGUAGCGCCUCGUGAAUUCAUCUUCGGGGGUAGAGCACUGUUUCGGCUAGGGGGUCAUCCCGACUUACCAACCCGAUGCAAACUACGAAUACCGAAGAAUGUUAUCACGGGAGACACACGGCGGGUGCUAACGUCCGUCGUGAAGAGGGAAACAACCCAGACCGCCAGCUAAGGUCCCAAAGUCAUGGUUAAGUGGGAAACGAUGUGGGAAGGCACAGACAGCCAGGAUGUUGGCUUAGAAGCAGCCAUCAUUUAAAGAAAGCGUAAUAGCUCACUGGUCGAGUCGGCCUGCGCGGAAGAUGUAACGGGGCUAAACCAUGCACCGAAGCUGCGGCAGCGACACUAUGUGUUGUUGGGUAGGGGAGCGUUCUGUAAGCCUGCGAAGGUGACCUGUGAGGGUUGCUGGAGGUAUCAGAAGUGCGAAUGCUGACAUAAGUAACGAUAAAGCGGGUGAAAAGCCCGCUCGCCGGAAGACCAAGGGUUCCUGUCCAACGUUAAUCGGGGCAGGGUGAGUCGACCCCUAAGGCGAGGCCGAAAGGCGUAGUCGAUGGGAAACAGGUUAAUAUUCCUGUACUUGGUGUUACUGCGAAGGGGGGACGGAGAAGGCUAUGUUAGCCGGGCGACGGUUGUCCCGGUUUAAGCAUGUAGGCUGGUUAUCCAGGCAAAUCCGGAUAAUCAAGGCUGAGGUGUGAUGACGAGGCACUACGGUGCUGAAGUAACAAAUGCCCUGCUUCCAGGAAAAGCCUCUAAGCAUCAGGUAACAU